rnacentral:rRNA from 1 species
GAUGAACGCUAGCGAUAGGCUUAACACAUGCAAGUCGAGGGGCAGCGAGGGUAGCAAUACCUGUCGGCGACCGGCGCACGGGCGAGUAACGCGUAUGUAACCUGCCCGCAACAGGGGGAUAACCCGGCGAAAGUCGGACUAAUACCGCAUAAAACAGGGGUCCCGCAUGGGAAUAUUUGUUAAAGAUUUAUCGGUUGCGGAUGGGCAUGCGUACCAUUAGGUAGUUGGUGAGGUAACGGCUCACCAAGCCUUCGAUGGCUAGGGGUUCUGAGAGGAAGGUCCCCCACACUGGUACUGAGACACGGACCAGACUCCUACGGGAGGCAGCAGUGAGGAAUAUUGGUCAAUGGGCGAGAGCCUGAACCAGCCAAGUCGCGUGAAGGAUGACUGCCCUAUGGGUUGUAAACUUCUUUUACAAGGGAAUAAAAUGAGAUACGUGUAUUUUAUUGCAUGUACCUUGGGAAUAAGCAUCGGCUAACUCCGUG